rnacentral:rRNA from 1 species
CCUACGGGUGGCUGCAGUCGAGAAUUUUUCUCAAUGGGCGAAAGCCUGAAGGAGCGACGCCGCGUGGGGGAUGAAGGGCUUCGGCUCGUAAACCCCUGUCAUUUGCGAACAAUGUGCAUCGUUUAACUGGCGAUGCAUUGCUUGUAGCAGAAGAGGAAGGGACGGCUAACUCUGUGCCAGCAGCCGCGGUAAUACAGAGGUCCCAAGCGUUGUUCGGAUUCACUGGGCGUAAAGGGUGCGUAGGCGGCAUUUUAAGUCUGAUGUGAAAGCUCUGG